rnacentral:rRNA from 1 species
UACGAAGGGUGCAAACGUUGCUCGGAAUUAUUGGGCGUAAAGCGCACGUAGGCGGCAUUGCAAGUCGGAUGUGAAAUCUUAUGGCUUAACCAUAAAAGUGCAUCCGAAACUGCAGUGCUUGAGUACUUAAGAGGAUCGCGGAAUUCCGGGUGUAGUGGUGAAAUGCGUAGAGAUCCGGAGGAACGCCUGUGGCGCAAGCGGCCACCUGGGCCUGACCUGACGCUGAGGUGCGAAAGCGUGGGGAGCGAACCGG